rfam:Firmicutes bacterium CAG:227 genomic scaffold, scf259
CACAGUCAAUCUGCUGAGGACUGAUGAAAUGAAUAUGGGUAUCAAUUCCACCUGCUGUGACAAUCAUGCCUUCGCCUGCAAGUGCUUCUGUGGAUGCACCGACUGUCAUUCCCGGUGUCACACCAUCCAUAAUAUCCGGGUUUCCGGCUUUUCCGAUUCCCUUGAUUUUGCCAUCUUUAAUUCCGAUAUCUGCCUUUACGAUUCCUGUAGAAUCCACGAUUAAUGCAUUUGUAAUAACCAGGUCUAAGUCUCCAUCUUUACUACAGGUUUUUACAGACUGUCCCAUACCAUCACGAA